rnacentral:lncRNA from 1 species
AGAAGCAACUCUGCCAGCCUGUUCUCCCUUUAUCAGGAGAGCAGAGAGAGCUGACUUUGAAGGCUGGGUGUCAGUUUAGACAUAAGGACUUAGGCCUGAAGCUUAGGACAGUCCCUUUACACAGCAAUGCUAUCAGGACAUGUUCCCUAAGGCCAGCCCUGUGUGACCCCCGGCUGAUUGGGAGAGCCUGUGUGUUGGUUAUCUCACAGUUAAGGAGAAUUUUCAGGGUUCUGAAGGAAAAUGUCUUCUGUUCUAGGUCCUCAGAAUGGUUGGAAUGAUCCUCCCGCUUUGAACAGAGUACCGAAGAAGAAGAAGCUGCCUGAGAACUUCAUGCCUCCUGUCCCCAUUACGUCACCAAUCAUGAACCCCGGGGGAGAUCCCCAGCCACAGGGGCUGCAGCAACAGCCUUCAGCUUCAGGGCCACGGUCAAGCCACGCCUCCUUCCCGCAGCCGCACCUAGCCGGCGGCCAGCCCUUCCACGGGAUCCAGCAGCCUCUUGCUCAAACAGGCAUGCCACCGUCUUUCUCGAAGCCCAACACUGAAGGGGCCCCCGGCGCUCCCAUUGGGAACACCAUCCAGCAUGUGCAGGCUCUGCCAACAGAAAAAAUUACCAAGAAGCCUAUUCCAGACGAGCACCUCAUUCUAAAGACUACGUUUGAGGACCUUAUCCAGCGCUGCCUCUCCUCAGCUACAGACCCCCAAACCAAGAGGAAGCUGGACGACGCCAGCA